AAAAAAAAAAAAACCACUUUACAUGCUGCUCAAAAAAGCAUAUUGCAAAAAGUGAUUUUGUUAUUUUAGUGUUAUUAUAAUUAAAACUUGUAAAAUUUAAUUUUAGAUCAUUUUUUAAUACUCUUUAAUUAAUAUAUUUGAAAAAGUAUUUUUCUCGACAGCAAUUCUAACAGCAAUGCUAAACAUAUCCUAUAUGCUAGUUACAAAUUCAUUUACUAUGAUGAUAACUUGGAGAAGUAGCGAACAAUUAUUCAGUUCUAAGAAAAUGUAAUAAAACUAUAUUUUAGUCUAUCAAUGGCUAUUAGUCAUGCAUUCAUCAGCAUCUCAUCAAAACUAACAAAGCUGAAUUCCUUCCCAACAAAUGGUUAAUCAUUUCAGUGUUAAAGCAUUGUUACCUUUUACCCUACAAUAAACAGUCAUACAGAUCCAAUGCAAAGUAAAUACCAAAUAUUCAAGUAUGCCCAUGCCUGGAAAAAAAAUUAAAAGUGAUACAAACAGCAGUAGCAUGUACCUCUGAUAUACAGAUCCAAUGCAAAGUAAAUACCAAAUAUUCAAGUAUGCCCAUGCCUGGAAAAAAAAUUAAAAGUGAUACAAACAGCAGUAGCAUGUACCUCUGAU
rnacentral:misc_RNA from 1 species